AGGAAACGAGGAUGGGGCUGGGGGGACGGGCCUCCCCAAGUCCUCCUCAGGCAAAUAGGCUCA
rfam:Canis lupus familiaris chromosome X, whole genome shotgun sequence.